UUCCUUUUCAACCUCUUUCAAGCGCCGCCGCCCACCGAUGGCGACCCAGCCACUCUUCACUACCUACGGAAUCCAUGGCGGUUGUUUGGCAGGACGACGAAGACCAUGGCGCCGCAGCCGCUUGCCCUCCCGCUGCUGAGUGCUGACUCCUUCGCCCUCCUCCUCACUUUCCUAGCUCUGAGCCUCUGAGCCAUUCCACCGCCAACGAUGCCGUUCGCUCGCUCGCAAGCCCAUGCCUCCAAGUAGCUUCAUCAUGACCACAACUGCUGCUGCUGCUACCAUCCAAAUGUUUCUGGUGUAGAUGCAAUUCUCUCUUGAUUUCUUUUCUCUCUCAACUCUGUUCUGUUAUCUGUCUCAAUCCACACGAAAGCUAUCCAGUUCGUCAUCAAGCCGGCGAGGCGGCGACCAUGGCGUCCUCCGCCGCCGCCGCCGCGGCAACGGGCCGCGCCGCCCUCGUCAAGGCCUUCGACGAGACACGCACCGGCGUCCGCGGCCUCGUCGAGUCCGGUGUCUCCGCCGUCCCGGACAUCUUCCGCCACCCCGACCCCUACGCCUCCGUCCCGCUCGCUCCACCCGGCGUCUCCAUCCCCGUCGUCGACCUCUCCCUCCCCGCGCCGCUCGCCGCCGAGGCCGCGGCGGGGGCCGCGCGCGAGUGGGGGUUCUUCUACCUCGUCAACCACCACGCCCUCGUCCCCCCCGGCUUCACCGACGGGCUCCUCGCCGCCACGCGCGCCUUCAACGAACUCCCGGCCACGGAGCGCGCCGCGCACUACGGCCGCUCCGUGGACGGCGGGGUGGACUACUUCUCCAACUUCGACCUGUACCGGUCCGGCGCCGCGAGCUGGCGCGACACCAUCGAGGUCACGUUCGGGCCCUCGCGCCCCGACACGGGGCGCAUCCCGGCGGCGUGCCGCGCCGAGGUCGUCGGCUGGGACGCGCACGCCACCGCCGUGUCCCGCGCCGUCAUGGCGCUGCUCUGCGAGGGGCUCGGCCUCGCCGCCGACGCGCUGGAGGAGGCCUCCUGCCUCGAGGGGAGAGUGAUGGUGUGCCACUACUACCCGGUGUGCCCUGAGCCCGAGCGCACCAUGGGGGUCGUCCCGCACACGGACCCCGUCGUGCUCACCAUCCUCGCGCAGGAUGAUGUCGGUGGCCUGCAGGUGAAGCACACGAACGAGGAUGGGGAGAGCUACUGGGUAGAUGCGAAGCCUGUGCCCGGCGCUCUUAUGAUCAAUGUUGGGGACCUAUUGCAGAUAAUGUCUAAUGAUAAGUACAAGAGCGUGGAACACCGGGUAGUAAUGAAUUCACAUGAAGAAGCCAGAGUUUCAAGUGCCAUCUUCUACAAUCCUGGCAAGAGAGGGGACUCAGUUUUUUAUGGACCAUUGCCAGAGCUGGUUUCUUCGGAAAACCCUCCAAAGUACAGGAAUUUUACUAUGCCUGAGUUUUUGGGGACCUUCUUUAAACGAGAGCUUGCGAGCAAUGCUCUUAUCGAGCACUUCAAAAUAUGAAAUUAUUCAAAUGUUGCAGGAAAAAGUGAGUCCAGCUUGCAGGCUGUCUGCUUGCGGUAUUAUUUUCACUGAUUGGCCUGCAUACACCACCAGGCAGAGGAGGGGUCAUCACAUAUGGUUUUGUGUAGCGUCCUACUAUAUCUGUUACUGAUAAUAGUCAACGGUUCAGAAUGAAAAAAAAAAUCUCUGACUAUAUAACAUACGGUUUAUAAGCCAUCUGUGACUAGGUAAGCAAUUGAGCUUCAAAGUAUGCCACAGCUUGUUCAUAGUUUUAUUGCUAGGGCAAGAAGUGACUACAUAGACCUCCGCUUUACUAUAAAUUGAUCCCUGAUGCCACCUUCAAUUGACACUACUUGGGAGUUGGGAUAAACUUCUGUUGCUUACCGAUGCAAGUAGGGUUGUAUGGAUACCAAAUCUUCAUUGAAAAAAAUAUAGAUAUCAUCAAUAUGGAAAUUGGAUUGCCAGUGGUUUGGAACUUUGGAUCUUGGAAUCCAGAAAAGGGACUUCAUGCAACCAGAAUGUUUAGGUCCUCUGGCAGAUGUUCAGAAGCUCAUCCGCUGUUAUCAGUGACAAUUCGAUCACAAAGGUUUCACGGCAUCAGUCCCUUCCACAAUACCUGAUCCUCAUCAUAUUAUGCUAGUCCCUCCGGCUACAGAUUUGCUCCAUCAAGAUCACAGCCAAAGCAAUGGCUAACAGGCUACAGCAGGAACUCCAGGCUUCCACAAGAUAGUGCUGAAACUCAAGCUCUAGCAGUAGCAGCAAUCCUCCACUGCAAAGUAGAAAAAUUUCCCCCAGGUGUACUCUAGUCUCGGGCUUCCGUUGUCCAGCUCCAAACUGAAUUUUGCUGAACUACAACCACUGAUUGCGAGAAUUAAUAUCUACCUGGAGGGAUGGCAAGCUCUUUUCAUGAAUUAUGCAGGAAGAGGGGGUUCUGGUUAA